rnacentral:tRNA from 1 species
GGCUCUUUUUAUAUAGUUUAAAUAAAACAUUACAUUUUCACUGUAAAAUUAAAGGAUUUGUCUUUUAUAA